CUUCAGCCCUUGAGGCCGUUUCUUCUGUCGGUCGUAACCUGGGAGAAGAACUCGCUCCCUGCCUGGCUACAACCUCCUGUCAGGGCGCUGUAGAGAGCAACUUUUAGCACCAACAAAGCUGAGUAGAUACCUAAGGAUGACUGAAAACUCUGCUGGGCACUCAUGUUUGCUUACAAAAUGGAGUCAUAUUCUGAGGAUCAAUGGACUUACGAGCACAGAGUUCUAGACCACCUCACAGAUGACAAAGACUGCCAACUGAUGACCAUUUCCUGGGAAGAAUUAUAUGUCUUGAGCAAGGAGAGAAGAAGAUUCCUCCACUGAUCCCUUUUAGUG